rnacentral:lncRNA from 13 species
UUUAAGACAACCCUUCUGUCAGCGGACAACUUGGUGACGAUCCUGAAAUGCCAAUUGUCCAGCAAAAAGACUUACUCAACAGAAAUGUGGAAGCUGUUCUUCCAAAACAAUGCUGCUAUUCUGGACCAGGCUCUUCUGGAUUACUCCAGCAUGGUAUGUUGAAUCCCAGAAUUACAACAAAAUGUUGGCAAUAUGUGUGGAUUUUGUCAAUACACAUCUGUUUAUACCUUUCCAGAACCCCAACACCAGCAGUCCAGCUAUGCCAAAUGUCCUUGAUGCCAUUGGAGAUGUCAAACUCAACAACUUCAUGAAUGCACAGCUGAACAACGCCAGCUUCGUUGACAAGUUGUUCCAGAAGAUGCUCCGUCCAUUCUUGGCAUCUCCAUCUAGGAAUUUCCUCUCCUGUCUCAGCUCAAAGAACUUCAGUUGUCAGACCUACCAAAUUGUGUAUGUAAAGCCAUGAUACCCAAUACCAUUGUCAAUACAACUGGUGAUAUGCCUACAAUUGAAUAAGAAGUCAAGAUAACAUAGGUAACAUGGGCUCUGUUCUCUUUCAGCAUUGAGGCUCUAAGCAACCAAUCAGCCUCCAUGGACAGAGAGCAACAACGAGUGAUCUUCACUCAUUACAUCUAUCCAUUCCUUUCAAGAAAUGACUCAUCAGGUAAUAAAUGGUUCUGGAAAGCGCAAAAACAUACACACUUCUCUGGGCCAAUCCAUUGAACUCAUCUGCUUAGGGGAACUUAAAGUCCAUUUGUUUAACUCUGCUUUUGUUUCAGAUCCCGGCUGUGUCUCAAACACCAGUGGAAGCAUGGACUGGCUCCAGAGGAACUUUGGCAUCUUUUCUGUUUUUGCAGAACUGCAGGAGUUACAAGUCCUUAAUCCCGACUUCUCCAGCAAGGAAUCACUGUCGCUGCUUACCCCAACCCAAGUGGCACAAUUGACAUUGACCUCUGGGGCAUUGAAUGACACAGAUGACAUUAAACUUGUGUUUACGCGGCUGGAGGAAGGUGACGCUUUCAAAAAUGUUGACGAGUUUCUGACGCAACUGACCGCAAAGGAAGAGAUUCCUGACAUCCAUCCAGCCGUGAGAGAUGUGAUGAUGAAUCAGACGUUCAACAUCAUCAGCCUUCAAUUCCCAGAGUUCGAAACGCUGGACUGGAUUGCAUGGUUCGAAGUAAAGCUGAUUCCCAUCCUCCCCAGUUUGAAUGAAGUCAUGCUCACCAUUGCUACCUCAAACGUCAACUGCACCAACUACCAAGUCAUGUGAGUAGGGACCAACUUCCUGCUAAAAUUUGCCAUGGAUUUGAAGACUAAAAUCUAUUGCAAACGUGGGGUGGGUAUCUAUAGCAAGCGUCAUGAGUAUAUAUUUUCCCAUUUACAGUGUAAGAGGAAUGGACAGAGCUUUCCCUGAAAUGACUCAGGAUAGAAGAGAAGGAAUCGCAAGAGUCCUGCUGAAAUACCUGAGGAGAUCUGUUCACCUCAUCAAUGGACCAGGUAGGGCUCAACAAGCAGGUUGUGAUGCUCAUGGCUCUUCUGUUGCAUCUGCUGAUAUGUUGCUUCCAUGAACAAGAUAUCCAUGAAGGCUUUUCCUCAUUUUAAUAAUCAAAAUGGCCAUGCAUUUCUUUUAGCUUGCAGGCAGAAAAUCCACAAUGAUGCUGACUGGCUUGCAAUCAACCUGGGGCCAUUCUCCGAAUACACAACCUAUUCUGAUCUCAAAGUCUUCAACAUCUCAGGGGUAAAACAAUUGUUUUCUACAAAAACAUUUGAGUGCAACAUUGGAAUCUUGUAAUUUGACGCUGCUCAUGUGGAGAUAUGGCUAAUGCAUUUUGUAUUCUGUUGUUUUCUUCUCCCCAGGUGGCAAUUCUAGACUCCCUCUCACCAAACCAGAAAGCCGAGCUGAUACUGGACCCCACAAACCUGGCAAAUGAAUCUCUUGUGCAAGAGGUUUUCCUAGGGGUUCUGGGAUCUUCAGGUGUGGCGGAGAUUGGUCAAUUUUUCCAAUCAUUUGUGGAGGUUGCUUCAAAGGUUUGUAUUUUACUUCUUGGUAUUGAGAUGAUUGGUUUAUUUGAACACAUCUAAACAACAUUGUCAUCAUGGUAAACCAGGAGUGGUCCUAAGCUAUUGCCAU